rnacentral:rRNA from 1 species
UACCAGCACCCCGAGUGGUCGGGACGUUUAUUGGGCCUAAAGCAUCCGUAGCCGGUCCUACAAGUCUUCCGUUAAAUCCACCUGCUUAACAGAUGGGCUGCGGAAGAUACUAUAGAGCUAGGAGGCGGGAGAGGCAAGCGGUACUCGAUGGGUAGGGGUAAAAUCCGUUGAUCCAUUGAAGACCACCAGUGGCGAAGGCGGCUUGCCAGAACGCGCUCGACGGUGAGGGAUGAAAGCUGGGGGAGCAAACCGG